UACGGAGGGAGCUAGCGUUAUUCGGAAUUACUGGGCGUAAAGCGCACGUAGGCGGCUUUGUAAGUUAGAGGUGAAAGCCUGGAGCUCAACUCCAGAAUUGCCUUUAAGACUGCAUCGCUUGAAUCCAGGAGAGGUGAGUGGAAUUCCGAGUGUAGAGGUGAAAUUCGUAGAUAUUCGGAAGAACACCAGUGGCGAAGGCGGCUCACUGGACUGGUAUUGACGCUGAGGUGCGAAAGCGAUGGGAGCAA
rnacentral:rRNA from 1 species